GGAACCACUGGAGACACACCAAAACCUUGCUGCUUAUAAAGGUGAAGGGAAGGUGACUUGUGCCUGGUGCUAAGCCUCAGCAGGUUCUAUCUAUCCAGAUACUUACAUGGCUCCGGUCACUGUAGUAUUUAAGUGCUGGAAUGUUUUGCAAAUGUAUCUGAGGUUCACUGAUGUUUUGGGAACACCCAGUCAAACAGCAGCUUUGUUACAAGGGAAACACCAAGUGAAGUGGGGAGAAAACAGCAGGCCAGUACUCUCCUGACAUCCUUGGGAGAGUAGGAGGAGAUGGGAGGGAGCCCCCAGGCCAUUCUGAAGAUACCAGUGGUACUUGUUUGAAAAUUAUGUGCAUAUUGCGUGAUCAAAACUCAUGCCCUUAGAGUGUCACUCAGCUCUAGCAAAUGGCCAGUUCACAGAAAUUGAGAAGAGGAUCAGUCAGAAGACAACACAUGAAAAUUUGAUUAGUUUACAAUUAUUUCCUAUGCAUCUCACAGUACAAAGAGUGUGUGUGUGUAUUAUGUAUGCAAUAUAUAGAUGGUAUUAAUAUGCAUCUCUCUACAUCUAUAUAUAAUAUAAUCAGUCACAUGUUCUGUA